GAUGAACGCUGGCGGCGUGCUUAACACAUGCAAGUCGAACGGUGAAGCAGGAGCUUGCUCCUGUGGAUCAGUGGCGAACGGGUGAGUAACACGUGAGCAAUCUGCCCUGGACUCUGGGAUAAGCGUUGGAAACGACGUCUAAUACCGGAUACGAGGCGUGGGGGCAUCCCCAACGCCUGGAAAGAACUUCGGUCCAGGAUGAGCUCGCGGCCUAUCAGGCAGUUGGUGAGGUAACGGCUCACCAAGCCUACGACGGGUAGCCGGCCUGAGAGGGUGACCGGCCACACUGGGACUGAGACACGGCCCAGACUCCUACGGGAGGCAGCAGUAGGGAAUAUUGCACAAUGGGCGCAAGCCUGAUGCAGCAACGCCGCGUGAGGGACGACGGCCUUCGGGUUGUAAACCUCUUUUAGCAGGGAAGAAGCGAAAGUGACGGUACCUGCAGAAAAAGCACCGGCUAACUACGUGCCAGCAGCCGCCGUAAUAC
rnacentral:rRNA from 1 species